rnacentral:rRNA from 1 species
UACGUAGGGGGCAAGCGUUGUCCGGAUUUAUUGGGCGUAAAGAGCGUGUAGGCGGUCUGGUAGGUCCGUUGUGAAAACUCGAGGCUCAACCUCGAGACGCCGAUGGAAACCAUCAGACUAGAGUCCGGAAGAGGAGAGUGGAAUUCCUGGUGUAGCGGUGAAAUGCGCAGAUAUCAGGAGGAACACCGGUGGCGAAGGCGGGUCUCUGGGCCGUAACUGACGCUGAGGAGCGAAAGCAUGGGGAGCGAACAGG